GAUGAACGCUGGCGGCGUGCCUAAUACAUGCCAGUCGAGCGAACAGACGAGGAGCUUGCUCCUCUGACGUUAGCGGCGGACGGGUGAGUAACACGUGGAUAACCUACCUAUAAGACUGGGAUAACUUCGGGAAACCGGAGCUAAUACCGGAUAAUAUAUUGAACCGCAUGGUUCAAUAGUGAAAGACGGUUUUGCUGUCACUUAUAGAUGGAUCCGCGCCGCAUUAGCUAGUUGGUAAGGUAACGGCUUACCAAGGCAACGAUGCGUAGCCGACCUGAGAGGGUGAUCGGCCACACGGGAACUGAGACACGGUCCAGACUCCUACGGGAGGCAGCAGUAGGGAAUCUGCCGCAAUGGGCGAAAGCCUGACGGAGCAACGCCGCGUGAGUGAUGAAGGUCUUCGGAUCGUAAAACUCUGUUAUUAGGGAAGAACAAAUGUGUAAGUAACUAUGCACGUCUUGACGGUACCUAAUCAGAAAGCCACGGCUAACUACGUG
rnacentral:rRNA from 1 species